rnacentral:lncRNA from 1 species
GAACACGGCGACGGGAGCUGCUGCUGCGGCGGCUUGUCCUGGGUUUGGUGCGCUGUAAACAAACUGAACAGAAGAGAAGAAGAGUUUGCCAAAGGUAGUAGGAAGAAUGAGGUUGACUUUAAGUAAGUACAAAGAUUGAUUUGGUUUGGUUUGGUUUGGUUUUACUUACUCUCCUGAUGCAUUUGUAGACUAGAAAGGAAACUAGAGCUCCCAUUACAGGAGAGAUCACCCAAGAUGAAGCCACUUUAGCUAAAGAACUCCAGAACACGGCCCCAGCUCCACCGUAUACUAGUCCAAACCCAACCAUUGACCC